GGUUAAGCGACUAAGCGUACACGGUGGAUGCCCUGGCAGUCAGAGGCGAUGAAGGACGUGCUAAUCUGCGAAAAGCGUCGGUAAGGUGAUAUGAACCGUUACAGCCGGCGAUGUCCGAAUGGGGAAACCCAGUGCAAUUCGUUGCACUAUCGUUAACUGAAUACAUAGGUUAACGAGGCGAACCGGGGGAACUGAAACAUCUAAGUACCCCGAGGAAAAGAAAUCAACCGAGAUUCCCCCAGUAGCGGCGAGCGAACGGGGAGCAGCCCAGAGUCUGAAUCAGCUUGUGUGUUAGUGGAACGGUCUGGAAAGUCCGACGGUACAGGGUGAUAGUCCCGUACACCAAAAUGCACAGGCUGUGAACUCGAAGAGUAGGGCGGGACACGUGGUAUCCUGUCUGAAUAUGGGGGGACCAUCCUCCAAGGCUAAAUACUCCUGACUGACCGAUAGUGAACCAGUACCGUGAGGGAAAGGCGAAAAGAACCCCGGCGAGGGGAGUGAAAAAGAACCUGAAACCGUGUACGUACAAGCAGUGGGAGCACCUUCGGGUGUGACUGCGUACCUUUUGUAUAAUGGGUCAGCGACUUAUAUUCUGUAGCAAGGUUAACCGUAUAGGGGAGCCGCAGGGAAACCGAGUCUUAACUGGGCGUUAAGUUGCAGGGUAUAGACCCGAAACCCGGUGAUCUAGCCAUGGGCAGGUUGAAGGUUGGGUAACACUAACUGGAGGACCGAACCGACUAAUGUUGAAAAAUUAGCGGAUGACUUGUGGCUGGGGGUGAAAGGCCAAUCAAACCGGGAGAUAGCUGGUUCUCCCCGAAAGCUAUUUAGGUAGCGCCUCGUGAAUUCAUCUUCGGGGGUAGAGCACUGUUUCGGCUAGGGGGUCAUCCCGACUUACCAACCCGAUGCAAACUACGAAUACCGAAGAAUGUUAUCACGGGAGACACACGGCGGGUGCUAACGUCCGUCGUGAAGAGGGAAACAACCCAGACCGCCAGCUAAGGUCCCAAAGUCAUGGUUAAGUGGGAAACGAUGUGGGAAGGCACAGACAGCCAGGAUGUUGGCUUAGAAGCAGCCAUCAUUUAAAGAAAGCGUAAUAGCUCACUGGUCGAGUCGGCCUGCGCGGAAGAUGUAACGGGGCUAAACCAUGCACCGAAGCUGCGGCAGCGACACUAUGUGUUGUUGGGUAGGGGAGCGUUCUGUAAGCCUGCGAAGGUGGCCUGUGAGGGUUGCUGGAGGUAUCAGAAGUGCGAAUGCUGACAUAAGUAACGAUAAAGCGGGUGAAAAGCCCGCUCGCCGGAAGACCAAGGGUUCCUGUCCAACGUUAAUCGGGGCAGGGUGAGUCGACCCCUAAGGCGAGGCCGAAAGGCGUAGUCGAUGGGAAACAGGUUAAUAUUCCUGUACUUGGUGUUACUGCGAAGGGGGGACGGAGAAGGCUAUGUUAGCCGGGCGACGGUUGUCCCGGUUUAAGCAUGUAGGCUGGUUAUCCAGGCAAAUCCGGAUAAUCAAGGCUGAGGUGUGAUGACGAGGCACUACGGUGCUGAAGUAACAAAUGCCCUGCUUCCAGGAAAAGCCUCUAAGCAUCAGGUAACAUCAAAUCGUACCCCAAACCGACACAGGUGGUCAGGUAGAGAAUACCAAGGCGCUUGAGAGAACUCGGGUGAAGGAACUAGGCAAAAUGGUGCCGUAACUUCGGGAGAAGGCACGCUGGUGUGUAGGUGAAGUCCCUGCGGAUGGAGCUGAGACCAGUCGAAGAUACCAGCUGGCUGCAACUGUUUAUUAAAAACACAGCACUGUGCAAACACGAAAGUGGACGUAUACGGUGUGACGCCUGCCCGGUGCCGGAAGGUUAAUUGAUGGGGUUAUCCGUAAGGAGAAGCUCUUGAUCGAAGCCCCGGUAAACGGCGGCCGUAACUAUAACGGUCCUAAGGUAGCGAAAUUCCUUGUCGGGUAAGUUCCGACCUGCACGAAUGGCGUAACGAUGGCCACGCUGUCUCCACCCGAGACUCAGUGAAAUUGAACUCGCUGUGAAGAUGCAGUGUACCCGCGGCAAGACGGAAAGACCCCGUGAACCUUUACUAUAGCUUGACACUGAACAUUGAGCCUUGAUGUGUAGGAUAGGUGGGAGGCUUUGAAGCGUGGACGCCAGUCUGCGUGGAGCCAACCUUGAAAUACCACCCUUUAAUGUUUGAUGUUCUAACGUUGGCCCCUUACCGGGGUUGCGGACAGUGUCUGGUGGGUAGUUUGACUGGGGCGGUCUCCUCCCAAAGCGUAACGGAGGAGCACGAAGGUUAGCUAAUCCUGGUCGGACAUCAGGAGGUUAGUGCAAUGGCAUAAGCUAGCUUGACUGCGAGCGUGACGGCGCGAGCAGGUGCGAAAGCAGGUCAUAGUGAUCCGGUGGUUCUGAAUGGAAGGGCCAUCGCUCAACGGAUAAAAGGUACUCCGGGGAUAACAGGCUGAUACCGCCCAAGAGUUCAUAUCGACGGCGGUGUUUGGCACCUCGAUGUCGGCUCAUCACAUCCUGGGGCUGAAGUAGGUCCCAAGGGUAUGGCUGUUCGCCAUUUAAAGUGGUACGCGAGCUGGGUUUAGAACGUCGUGAGACAGUUCGGUCCCUAUCUGCCGUGGGCGCUGGAGAAUUGAGGGGGGCUGCUCCUAGUACGAGAGGACCGGAGUGGACGCAUCACUGGUGUUCGGGUUGUCAUGCCAAUGGCACUGCCCGGUAGCUAAAUGCGGAAGAGAUAAGUGCUGAAAGCAUCUAAGCACGAAACUUGCCCCGAGAUGAGUUCUCCCUGAGACUUUAAGUCUCCUGAAGGAACGUUAAAGACGAUGACGUUGAUAGGCCGGGUGUGUAAGCGCAGCGAUGCGUUGAGCUAACCGGUACUAAUGAACCGUGAGGCUUAACCUU
rnacentral:rRNA from 1 species